rnacentral:rRNA from 1 species
UGUGUAGGCGGUUGUUUAAGUUUGGUGUGAAAUCUCCCGGCUUAACUGGGAGGGUGCGCCGAAUACUGAAUGACUAGAGUGCGGGAGAGGAGAGUGGAAUUCCUGGUGUAGCGGUGAAAUGCGUAGAUAUCAGGAGGAACACCGGCGGUGUAGACGGCUCUCUGGACCGUAACUGACGCUGAGACACGAAAGCGUGGGUAGCAAACAGGAUUAGAUACCCUGGUAGUCCACGCCCUAAACGAUGCAUAUUUGGUGUGGGUCAUUCAGUUGAUCCGUGCCGGAGCUAACGCGUUAAAUAUGCCGCCUGGGGAGUACAGUCGCAAGGCUGAA